CAGGUUGAAGGUUGGGGAACACUAACUGGAGGACCGAACCCACUGUCGUUGAAAAGCCAGGGGAUGACUUGUGGAUAGGGGUGAAAGGCUAAUCAAACUCGGUGAUAGCUGGUUCUCCCCGAAAGCUAUUUAGGUAGCGCCUCGGACGAACACCAUUGGGGGUAGAGCACUGUUUCGGCUAGGGGGUCAUCCCGACUUACCAAACCGAUGCAAACUCCGAAUACCUACAAGUGCCGAGCAUGGGAGACACACGGCGGGUGCUAACGUCCGUCGUGAAAAGGGAAACAACCCAGACCGUCAGCUAAGGUCCCAAAGUCAUGGUUAAGUGGGAAACGAUGUGGGAAGGCUUAGACAGCUAGGAGGUUGGCUUAGAAGCAGCCAUCCUUUAAAGAAAGCGUAACAGCUCACUGGUCAAGCGCUCCUGCGCGGAAAAUGUAACGGGGCUUAAGUGAUACACCGAAGCUGCGGAUUCGAUCUUUGAUCGAGUGGUAGCGGAGCGUUCCGUAGGCCGAUGAAGGCAGACCCGCGAGGGCUGCUGGAGGUAUCGGAAGUGAGAAUGCUGACAUGAGUAGCGACAAA
rnacentral:rRNA from 1 species